CGCCCCCAAGUCUCCGGUGACCGUUAGGAGUUUGAAAUGUUCCUGUUUUCCUGCUUGGUGCAGAAGCCGGGCUGUAGCCGCGGGUGAAAUAUUUGGACAAGGAAGGGAUUUUUCUAAAAUACACCCUCAACAAAGGCUUCUUCUUAUCCACUGGAACUAGGCAUUUUUGUUACACCAGCUUCAAAGCAGUGAACUCCCUGUGCUUGAGCGAAGACCUUGAGAUUAACUUUCAUUUGUUCUGAGUUUUUGCCGCAGGGAUCCAGUUUGUGAACCUACUUCCAUGUUGGCACAUUUACCUAUUUAAAAUCAAGCAGCUGUCUCCUGCAACCGGAUGAUGUGCUUUACAAAGUCCUCCGCCAACUUUUGGAAAAAUUGUGUCUUGACCUGGUCUCCAAAACAAGAAAAGCACCUUUGUCCCCUUUGAUGCCUUCAAUUCCUUCCUGCUACAGAUUAUUGCCAUGGAGAAUUGUUAACAUCCUUCUGGAUGAUCAGACUGGCAUAUGGCAACCGAAGGCUGUGCUGGCUCACUGGAGGCGAUGUUGGAUCUCUUCAUCAAUAGCUGCUUUGAGUCUCAGAACACGCCGAAGGGAUUGGAAGAGAUCAGUGUUCUUUAAGGCUUCCCUGUGGACCUUGAUCUGGUGUUUGCUGUAAUCAUGCUAGGUUGAUGGAGGACCUUUGUCUUACAGAUGUUCAGGUGCAGGUGAAAGGAACUUCGAAAGAAACAAUCUGGUUGUGGAGAGAGAACGUAAACUUUUUUGCUGCAGCAGAGAGAAAGAGCUGUAUCUACCAACUUCAACAGCCAGCUCCAAACCUCAACUGAAAGUAAAAUUGAAACCCUUGGUCUGUGUGAGCGUGACUCCACCCUCUCAUGCUUUUUCUAAUUUAGAAAAAACACUCAGGGAGCUCAAAACUGUUUACCCACAGCUUCUGAAGCUGCUGUUUCAGUGCCAUUACGGUAACACCUCUCUACAAGAGUAACAACAUAGACAAAUCUCUCUUAAAGGCACAGUGACAUCACAAACAUGGAGAAGUACUAAUUUAUUAGCUUGGGCCAGACUAGACCGCCCAGACUAUCACACAAGCCAACCUUCUGUCGACUGACUACAUCAACACUUCUUGUUGCUACUGAAAUGCAGCCAACAUCAUCAAAGACCCCUCCCAACCCAGUUAUAAUCUCUUCCAACCUCUUCUGUCAAGCAGAAGAUACAAAAAUAUGUACCAACAAAUUCAAGAACAGCUUCUUCCCUGCCGUCAUUGGACUUCAGAAUGAAGCUACUGGUGGUUAUUGAUACAUGAUAAUCAGCAGGCGUCUCAUUGCCCAUGCAUGACCUGAUGCAAUAUGACUGUCAUUUCUCAGCCUGCUUCAAUCCCUUGAAAUUUGCCUACCAGUGCAACAGGUCCACAGCAGACACCAUUUCCCUAGCCCUACAAUGAUUCCUGGAUCAUCUGGAUAAUAAGGAUAACUACAUCAGACUUCAACUUAUUGACUAAGGCUCCACCUUCAACAGUUUUUAAACCCAACCAAACUAAUCUCCAACCUCUAAGACUGAGGUCUCUGCUCCACCCUCUGCAACUGGAUCCUCGAAAUCCUAAACCACAGACCACAAUCCAUGAAUAUAUGCAACAUCACUAAGAAAACGAAUGUAAUGUUGUCGUUUAUCUCAAGAGGGUUGGAAUAUAAAAGCAGUGAUGUGUUUCUGAGACUUUAUAAAGCUCUAGUUAGGCACCAUUUAGAAUACUGUGUCCAAUUAUGGGCACCACACCUCAGGAAGGACGUACUGGCGCUGAAGCAUGUCUAGCAGAGAUUCACACGAACGAUCCCUGGAAUGGUAGGUUUAACGUACCAUGAACGGCUAAGGAUCCUGGAAUUGUAUUCAUUAGAGUUUAGAAGGUUUGGGGGAGAUCUAAUAGAAAAACAAGAUAAUAUAUGGCUUAGAAAGGAUGGUCGCUGGGAAGUUGUUUCCGUUAGGCAGGGAGACUAGGACCUGUGGGGCACAGUCUUAGAGUUAGAGAGGGUAAAUUUAAAACAGAAAUGAGGAGACAUUUCUUCAGCCAGAGAAUGGUGGGCCUGUGGAAUUCAUUGCCAUGGAGGCUGGGACGUUAAAUGUCUUCAAGGCAGAGAUUGAUAAAUUCUUGAUCUCACAAGGAAUCAAGGGCUAUGGGGCGAGUGCAGGGAAGUGGAGUUGAAACACCCAUCAGCCAUGAUUAAAUGUUGGAGUGGACUUGGGCCAAAUGGCCUUACUUCCACUCCAAUGUCUUAUGGCCUUAUGACCUCCUCUGUGGCAAUUCUCAACACCAACACAGGGCAAGGAUGCAUGUUCAGUCCCCUUCUGUACUUCCUGUACAUUCAAGACGGUGUGGCCAAAUUUCAUCCGAAUUCCAUCUACAAGUUUGCCGAUGACACCAUCGUAGUAGGCCAGUUGUCAAACAAUGAUGAGACAAACUACAGAAAAUAGAUAGAAUACUUGGUAAAGUGGUGCAAAGGUAACAAUCUCUCCCUCAUUGUCAACCAAAGAACCAAUCGUCGACUUCAGAAGCAAGAAGGAGAACAUGCCCCUAUCUAUAUCAAUGCAACUGAGGUGGAGAUGGUUGAGAGCAUCAAUUUUGAUGAUCACCAACAAUCUGUCCUGGACCACCUGUGUGUUGAUGCAACGGUCAAGAAGGCACAAUAAUGCCUCUUUUUCCUCUGGAGGCUAACGAAAUUUGGCAUGUUCAUAAGGACCCUCACCAACUUUUAUAGAUGCACUAUAGAAAACAUUCUACCUGGAUGCAUCACAGCUUGCUAUGGCAACUGCUCUGCUGAAGACCAUAAGAAACUACAGAAAGUUGUGAAUACCGCCCAGACUAUCACACAAGCCAACCUUCCGUCGACUGACUAUAUCAACACUUCUUGUUGCUACUGAAAUGCAGCCAACAUCAUCAAAGACCCCUCCUACCCCAGUUAUAAUCUCUUCCAACCUCUCCUGUCAGGCAGAAGAUACAAAAACAUGUACCAACAAGUUCAAGAGCAGCUUCUUUGCUGCCGCCAUUGGACUUCAGAAUGGAUCUCUCAAAUUUCAAAUCCAAUGUUGAUCUUGCAUUUUGUACAACCUUUUUGCAGCUGUACCUUUGUAUUUCUCACUCUAUUCAAUCACACAAUGAUUUUUGUGUCUUUGUAUGUUGUUAUGUUCUGUGUACUGCAUGCACAACUACUGUGCUUUGGUACAUGUGACA